rnacentral:rRNA from 1 species
CCUACGGGAGGCAGCAGUGAGGAAUAUUGGUCAAUGGACGAGAGUCUGAACCAGCCAAGUAGCGUGAAGGAUGACUGCCCUAUGGGUUGUAAACUUCUUUUAUAUGGGAAUAAACUGUUCCACGUGUGCGUUUUUGUAUUCACCUUAUGAAUAAGGAUCGGCUAACUCCGUGCCGUCAGCCGCGGGAAUACGGAGGGUCCGAGCGUUAUCCGGAUUUAUUGGGUUUAAAGGGAGCGUAGGUGGAUUGUUAAGUCAGUUGUGAAAGUUUGCGGCUCAACCGUAAAAUUGCAGUUGAAACUGGCAGGCUUGAGUACAGUAGAGGUGGGCGGAAUUCGUGGUGUAGCGGUGAAAUGCUUAGAUAUCACGAAGAACUCCGAUUGCGAAGGCAGCUCACUGGACUGCAACUGACACUGAGGCUCGAAAGUGUGGGUAUCAAACAGGAUUAGAUACCCCAGUAGUC